AGCUCCAAUAGCGUAUAUUAAAGUUGUUGCAGUUAAAAAGCUCGUAGUUGAACUUCUGGCUUCACUUUCAGCUGGCUUCGGUCGCUGCAAGUGUGGUCAUCCGCUUGGGAACUACAUUCGAACUUCACUGUUCGGUGUAAGGAACAGGCAGUUUACUUAGAAAAAAUUAGAGUGUUCAAGGCAGGCUAUCGCCCUGAAUACACAAGCUUGGAAUAAUGAAAUAGGACUACUUCCAUUUUAUUGGUUAUUGGAAAUAGUAAUGAUUAAUAGGGACAGUUGGGGGCAUUAGUAUUUAAUAGUCAGAGGUGAAAUUCUUGGAUUUAUUAAAGACUAACUUAUGCGAAAGCAUUUGCCAAGGAUGUUUUCAUUA
rnacentral:rRNA from 1 species